rnacentral:lncRNA from 1 species
UCCCCAUCUAUUUGCCAUGAAGUCAUGGGACCGGAUGCCAUGAUCUUAGUGACAGAGGAACCAUUAAUUGAGAUGCAAAAGAGGACACAUUCUAUUCACUUUUAUGCUUCACAUCUUAAGGUUUAUACUACCGGACUCACUUAUCCUUCCUGGUCCCCACCCAACGGGACCCCUUCUCGCCAACCCUGAGACUGGGUGAUAGAGGCGGUGGCCCUUGGGGAGAAGAAUAUGUCAAGUUGAGGCCAAGUGAGAAUUCUAAAGAGGCUCCUACUGUUGGGUGUAGGAGGGCUGGGGUGAGUAGGAGCCCCACGAAAACUGCGCUUUUACGCNNNNNNNNNCGCAAAUCGACGCCAGAGCCGGGGGUGGGGAUGUCGUCACCAGCCGCCUGGGGUUGGCAGAGUUGCGGAGAGAGGGGCGUGUAGACCCCGCCUCGGUGGGUGGGGAGUGGCAGGCCCCGCCUCGGCCCCGCUGGCAGGCUCGGGCCGGCGUCGCUGCGGCUCUGGCUGCCGGGCUGGAGAGCCGAGCCGGGAAGGAUGCGGCUCCCGGGGCGGCCUGGGGGUCCCGGGGGAUCGGGGGGUCUCCGGGUGCUGCUCUGUCUGCUGUUGCUGGGCAGCCGCCCGGGAGGCUGCAACGCCAUUAGUGCCCACGGUCAGGAGGAAAUGGGGGGUGGGGGAGGGUGCCGAGAGCAGAACUCGGUGGGGUGUGCUGCGGGUGUGGAGGGGAGGGAAUGGGAAGUAUCACGAAGGUCGGAACCUCGGCUGGAAGGUGUGUGUGGAGUGGGGAGGGGGAGGCCCGGUGAGCGGAGAGAGAAGAGAGGGCGUCUGCGAGGAAAGGGGCGUAGGCCUGGAGGUGGGGCUGGGAACCCGGGGGCGGGACCUAAGAGAAGAGGGCUCAGGGCAAGUUCGGGGUUUGGGGAGAAGAAAAGGGGGUGCGUGUGGACAGAGAGACCUAGAGACGGGAUACGAGAGAAGGACGUGUCCCCGAGGCGCCAAAAAGUGGCGGCGCUGAGGGGUGGAGGAGGGGAAGGAAAGAGAGAACCCUGGUUUCCAGGCAGUAGAAGUCGGGCCCACGAGCUCCGGGGUCCCAGAUUUCCGUAGAGGAUCAGGCCAAAGGAGGGGCCAGGGUUUCUCUCCUAGUCUGGAGAGGCCGAUCGCUGUAAUCUGAUCUCCGAUGAGAAGCAGACGGCUGGGGAAGGGGGCCAAAGAGGGUGAAGAGGGAGGGGUCGUCUCCCGCCCCCUCCCCACAGCCAGGCCUGGUGCUGACUCACAUCUGAGCGGACGGAGACAGUCAGCGCUGACUCAUGGGCAGGGGGAGGGUGGGGGCCAGGGGCGCGUGGGGGAAGGGGCGCAAGCUCGCAAUCUGACGCCCUCCUCCCCCAUCGGGCUUGAAGGCCAGGGCAAGGUACUUCCUGUGGCGCUGCGGGUUGGUUAGGGUGGAAGAUGAAGGCUGGAAUGGCGGAGAGGUCAGGUCUUUUGAAGGCUCCUCACCCGGUCGCCCUUCCCUCCCCUAUAACUGCUUCCAGGCAAACCCUCAGAGGCGCCGGGCUCAGAGCUUCAGCACCGCGAACAGCGCCAACAGCUCUAGGGCCACGGACUUAGAGGGACAGUGUGGGGAGCACUGCCUUAGAGCCAUCCCACCCUUUCCCAUGCGAAGCGGAAGUGUGCUAGGGUUCCCGUCUCUUCUGAGCCCCAGGCCAUCAUAAGAUACUUUUGGAGAUAUGGGAAGGAAAGUCCCUUUUCCCUCUGAAUUUGAACAGAAACUACCCCGCAGUAAUUCUAUCAGAGUAGAAGUUUAUCAUUCUCCACCAUCACCAUCCCCAUGCACCUGAAGGGCUUCUUCUCCCCAUUACUUAGUUAAACAAACUGAGGCUUUUAGGGAAAGAAUCGAAACUUGCAGAUCUUUGAAAUCCAAACCAGAUCCCCCUCUUAAGAAGAGGAGGCCUCUUCCCUCCUCUCCUCCCAGCUUAAAGCCUUCCUUAGAAUGAAAGACUGGAUCCCAUCUGCUU